GUCUUGAAACCAGGCGGCAAGUGGACAUCGGGGAAUAUACAUAGAUCUUUGAAGGCAACACUCUUUUGGCCUGCCAACCCUUGCAUGUUUUCCAACCAUUGUUCUAAGCUUUUCACUCUUCGGGUCAUUUCUUCCUGUACCAUCUUUCGGGCAGGCUUCUCAGUUUUUGCAGCAAGAUCAAACGAGUACGAGUGGUACUCAGGAGAGUGGUACUGCUCUUGUUGUGUCGCAAAUUGUGACUCAUGACGAGGAACCCUCCGACUCUGAGUCUCUGGAGCACUUGUAACAGCUUCGACGUUAGUUGUCAUUUUUCUUUGAGGCACAAACCGACCACCUCAACUUUCUUCACAAUUCAACACCAAAUAUGUUAGAAUGGACUCAGUCGGUCCUUAUUAUUAUCAACAUAUGUAUAUAUAUAUAUAUAUUUAUUUAUUUAUUUAGAAUUAGGGUUCGAUUCCGGAGAGGGAGCCUGAGAAACGGCUACCACAUCCAAGGAAGGCAGCAGGCGCGCAUAUUACCCAAUCCUGACACGGGGAGGAACAUCCGAUACCUCGCUUGGAGCAGACUUUCCAACCAGCCGAUGUU
rnacentral:ncRNA from 1 species